CAGCCGCCGCGGUAAUACGUAGGGGGCGAGCGUUGUCCGGAAUUAUUGGGCGUAAAGCGCGCGCAGGCGGUCCCUUAAGUCUGAUGUGAAAGCCCACGGCUCAACCGUGGAGGGUCAUUGGAAACUGGGGGACUUGAGUGCAGAAGAGGAGAGCGGAAUUCCACGUGUAGCGGUGAAAUGCGUAGAGAUGUGGAGGAACACCAGUGGCGAAGGCGGCUCUCUGGUCUGUAACUGACGCUGAGGCGCGAAAGCGUGGGAAGCAAACAGGAUUAGAUACCCUGGUAGUCCACGCCGUAAACGAUGAGUGCUAAGUGUUAGAGGGGUUAAACCCUUUAGUGCUGUAGCUAACGCGUUAAGCACUCCGCCUGGGGAGUACGGCCGCAAGGCUGAAACUUAAAGGAAUUGGCGGG
rnacentral:rRNA from 1 species